UAGAGGAGUGACUGCAUGGGAAUUGAUUUAUAACAGCCAACUUCCAUGUCAUCUCUUUGAAUUACUGAACUUUUUUUGAAGAUGAAUGGAACAUUUCAUUUUUUUAUUGAAACCAACGAAGUGGAAUAAAAGGUUUUAAGAUGGAGAGAAUUAGGAUCAAAUGUCUGGCAGAGGCAUCACUUCACACAGCUAAUUGCCCUGAUCUCACUGUACAGUAGAGUUAAUGAAAACAAGAGACAGAUUCAUCAUGGCAUCUCUGAGCGGUCCUUUUUAGGGUCCUUAGAGAGCUUAGCCAGAAGAAACCUGUGUGAACAUUAAUGGGUUGUCUCUUACAAUAAACAACAACAACAACAAAACACUUGUUUUUUAUCGCACAGCAUGGGGUCAUAAGUAUCUGCUGGCAAUAACUCAAGAUGAUGCAUACAAGUUAAUUUUAUACAUCCCCACGAUAUGUAGUUAGUUUAAUACAGUAACUAUUCUGAAGCAACAUUCAUAUGAACUAGGUGAGGAACCCCAGUUAGCUAUAAUAGUAUUUUCUUCUACCCUUGUGUCGACUGUGUGCUUUGACAUGGGACUGGUUAAGGAUCAGGUGCCCACUGUCUACGGCUCGAAUUAUGUGCCUGAACUGACUUACACAACUCCUACCCAUCAACUGCUUAUUGACCAUGGAUGCCCCUUGACCACCAUGGAUGCUGGACCUCCUACAUAUGACAAAACAUCAUCACAGCCUCAAGCCCAGAUCCUGACAGUUACAGCUGUUAAAUGGGGGAGACGUGACCAUAGGGUGCCCCCUUCACCAGCAGGUGCAUUUCAACACGUUUGACUUCCUCCCUCCAUAGGCCCAGAGGGGGCUGAAGUCUACUUAACCACACCCCAUAGAGCACUGAGCAUCCCAUCCUCCUUCUCCUUUCCCCUCUGUUCUCUCUCCUUCCAUCCCCAUCCCCAUCCCCCCAUCCAUCCAUCCAUCCAUCCAUCCAUCCAUGCAGAGCACUAGACUGUGGUGUCUGCGUUGGCACUGGCCUCUGACCUGAGGCAGGGCACCUCAUGCCCACAUGCCUCUUCCUUCCCAGGCAGCAAGAAAUAGUCCGGCCGUUGCUGGGGAAAUGGAUGAGUCACUCCUACAAGAAUUGUAGGAGCAAGGAGCAGCUGGGUAUAUAAGCGAAUACACACACAAUAUAAAUGUACCUUUCUGUAACAUGGUUGUGAUGACAAAGCUAUGAUGUCAUUAUGUGUUAUUAGGGUUUGUAUUUUUUCUUAUCUUUUAACACAUUGUAAAUGUUUUACACCAUUUUUCUCAUCAUGGUUAUAAUUAGCAAAUUCUAAAAUUUUAUAGGGGCCAUUUAAAGUUGAGCUAGUCUUCCUGGGCUAAAUUAGUUAAGCUUCAAUUUUGGGCUGUCUUCAAUCUGUAUCGCUGAAGCGUUACAGAUUGUGCAGUAGAAAUGUAAAGGUAAUUUCCAAUUGAGCUGACAUACGCAGUGUUUACCAAGAAUGCAGUCUCCACUAACGCGGGAACAUUACCUUUAAAUUUCUAUCAUGCUGUAACGCUGAAGUUCCGCGAUACGGAUUGAAUAGAGCCCUAAGGCUAAUAUUCUAUCCAAUUAUACUAGUUAUAAUUUAGCUUUAAUUAACAAGCACUGUAUUGCCUAAUGUCAUAGUUAUUCACACACACUCAAACAUGCUUACCGCUGAGGUAUAACCCUAGACUAUGUUGCGUAAAUAUGCUGGCUCACACUAACUUGGGAGCUCUAUAAUUCAUAAGCAUCAUUGCCUUUGUAAAUAUUUAAAGGCUUAUGAAUCCAACAUUUCACAUAUCGUGAUAUACCCAUGUAUAAAUUGACAAAUGACCUAGCGGGAUAACUAAAAUAUAGUCAGACUUCAGUGGGUGUUUUUAUAUGUUGUUGCCAUGGUAACACCCUCCAUAGAUCACCUCACUUUUGUGGUGUUCUCUGGCUCUGGGUCGUCGUCAGACGCUAAGCAUCCCAGCUCUCUUCCUCUGCAGAGUGUUGCAUUUCCCAACGAGGCUACGCUGCAUGUUUGUUUAUUCGGAGAUAUGAGAAUCCUACUUGACUUCAAUGCUGCCGGACAUCUUAUGCACUCCCUUCCCUCCUGAUUCACAGCGGCUCCCCUAACCCGGUGGCUUGUUUGUGUUUGUCUCUGCAGACUCCCAGGAAAUGUCCAUCCUUCCUCGGCCCCCAGGAAUAUAUAGUCUCAUUAAAGCAGACUUCCUAUAUCCUGAGUCAGCAGAGACAGUAUGGGUGACUAGGGACUAAGGACUGUGACUUUAUAAAAGCACCCACAGGGAACCCAUAAAGACUACAUGGGGGCUAGGAGGGAUAUUAUGGAGGAAGUGGGACUCGAGAGGUGACAGUAACAGACAUCAUAUUUAUGACUUCAACAAAUAAUACCAUAUCUUAUCCAAGGUUACUUGUAGUUGACUUUAUUUGGAAUGUGCUGUGACUCAUGACACACAAAUGACAUAGAAAGUGAAACCACACUAUGAAAAGAGCAACAUCCUUCUGGAGUUCUGUACGUCUUGUUUUGAAAUGGAUUUCUGACAGCGAUUCACACAUUCAUUGCAAUGAAUGAAUGGAUAUUUAUCGACUUCGUUGACUCUGAACAAUUGGAUUCUACUUUUCUGUGCAUCCAGUUGCAGUGUUGUAAGUUCUGAUACCUCCCUGUAGGUGUCAGGGUUACCGCUAUGAAAUACUGAUUAACAGAAAGGCUAUUGGCUAAAUACAGUCACAAUGUUCAUUCACAAAAGCAUUCUAUAACAAUUACUUCAUACAGAAUACUGCACAGAGUCACAUCACUGCAACUGUUUUAAAUGAAAUUUCUAGGGGUGGGGAAAUACUUAUUGUCUUGACUUUCCAUAAAUGUAUGACCUACUUAGAAAACAUAUCUUGUUUAAAAAAGGAAAUGUAACAUUUUCAGUGUUUGUGUCAUCAUGAUUGCAGUGUACAGUACAAACACUAUGAGGGUUAUUGACACAAUUUAUAUUUUGAAACUGAUAUUUGAGGUUCAUUAUUAUUUUGUUCCCAUGCUAGAUUAACCAAAACACACACACACACACACACAAACAAACAAACAAACAAACAAACACAGACACACAGACACACAGACACACAUUGUGGAACGUGGCAUGCAUUACAGGAGCCAGGAUUCAAUACUUGUAUCUUAUAAGGAUAAUGGCUGUGUACACAUCAGUAAAUUAGACCAGCUCUGUUGUUCAUAAUGCUCCUCAUUACCAGUAGUCCCAACAUUCAAGCCAUGUGUGCAUGCUCAUUGCAAAGACAUCUUAAUAUGGAAAACACUUCAAUGCAGCUGGUGAGAGACCACAUGACAGUUCAACCAUGAUCAUUUUCUUGUGUUCUCAAUUUCUAUUGUGAUAUUUUGAUUUAGUAUAAACUUACCUAGCUUGUUUGCAUGUAUUGUAUCACUUCCAUCCCAACAUUCUGUUACUCGACAACUCUGCAAGCUGCGUUCCAGUAAGGGAUAAAUAACGUAAUAUUCAUGAUCUUAUUUUAUUGAAUAUUGAUUGGAUGAUGAAUUACUUUGUUCAUGAACAAAGAUGUAGAACUAAUGUUUACUCGUAUGAGGAAUGUUUUUUGUAAACUUUUUAUCGAUCGUGUACAUUUUUCAAAUGUUUUAGUAAUUCAGUCAGUGCAGAAACAUUGCUGUUAAAGUCGAUGUCGUUUCUUUUUUUUUUACACACUCUUGCAAGCGAACAGAAAAACUUAGCAGUAAACAUGUUUUUACCUGCAUAAUAAAAAAAUCGAUAUUGUCUGUUAACCUCAUGAUUUACCAUCCUGUAUAAUUCAAUUAAAUUGAUAAGAAUGUGAAAAUGA